rnacentral:rRNA from 1 species
GACGAACCGUGCGAACGCUGUUCGGAAUCACUGGGCUUAAAGGGCGCGUAGGCGGCUUGCCAAGUCCGGGGUGAAAGCCCCCAGCUCAACUGGGGAAGGGCCUCGGAUACUGGCGAGCUCGAGGGAGGUAGGGGUCGAGGGAACUUCUGGUGGAGCGGUGAAAUGCGUUGAUAUCAGAAGGAACGCCGGUGGCGAAAGCGCUCGACUGGAUCUCUACUGACGCUGAGGCGCGAAAGCUAGGGGAGCAAACGGG